rnacentral:rRNA from 1 species
GACGAACGCUGGCGGCGUGCCUAAUACAUGCAAGUCGAACGAGAGCGACCGGUGCUUGCACUGGUCAAUCUAGUGGCGAACGGGUGAGUAACACGUGGGUAACCUGCCCAUCAGAGGGGGAUAACAUCCGGAAACGGAUGCUAGAACCGCAUAGGUCUUCGAGCCGCAUGGCUUGAAGAGGAAAAGAGGCGCAAGCUUCUGCUGAUGGAUGGACCCGCGGUGCAUUAGCUAGUUGGUGAGGUAACGGCUCACCAAGGCCGUGAUGCAUAGCCGACCUGAGAGGGUGAUCGGCCACAUUGGGACUGAGACACGGCCCAAACUCCUACGGGAGGCAGAAGUAGGGAAUCUUCGGCAUGGACGCAAGUCUGACGGAGCAACGCCGCGUGAGUGAAGAAGGUUUUCGGAUCGUAAAACUCUGUUGUUAGAGAAGAACAAGUGCUAGAGUAACUGUUAGCGACUUGACGGUAUCUAACCAGAAAGCCACGGCUAACUACGUG